UGAGGAAUAUUGGGCAAUGCCCGCAAGGGUGACCCAGCAACGCCGCGUGGAGGAUGAAUGUCGUAAGAUUGUAAACUCCUGUUAGAGGGGAAGAAUAGUACCGGUUGGACCGGUAUAUGACUGUACCCUCAGAGAAAGCCCCGGCUAACUACGUGCCAGCAGCCGCGGUAAUACGUAGGGGGCAAGCGCUGUCCGGAUUUACUGGGUGUAAAGGGCGCGCAGGCGGGAUAAAAAGUCAGUGGUGAAAUCCUACAGCUUAACUGUAGAACUGCCUUUGAUACUUUUAUUCUUGAGUUCGGGAGAGAGAGACGGAAUUCCAGGUGUAGUGGUGAAAUACGUAGAUAUCUGGAAGAACACCAGUUGCGAAGGCGGUCUCUUGGUCCGACACUGACGCUGAGGCGCGAAAGCGUGGGGAGCAAACA
rnacentral:rRNA from 1 species